AUAUAUAUAUAUAUAUAUAUAUAUAUAUAUAUAUAUUAUUUUUGAGAAAAUGUAGAUUAAUAUUUUCAUACCUAUUGACCUUGAAGCUCUCAAAACCAUAGAUAUCAAGGACUCCAAUUAUGCUUUUUGCAUUUGCAUCCUGACCAAUGGAAUUGUUUAUCUUGUCCACAAUCCUGGGCAUGGCCUAAUAGGAGUUGCUAUCACACGCUUACACAGAGAGUCUUCAAGAACUUUCAAAUUGCACCUGGAUUGUUGAAAUAUUUCAUAAGUAAAUGCUUGAUGAUACAUUGUGGAAAAAUGAUUUGUAAGGAAACGCUUUGUACAUGAGUAACUCUGCAGUUGUUUUAAGAUGGAACAUAGCUUUCUCAUCUUUCAACUUUGAAGAAUCAUUCUCUUCUCCUUUAACAAAGUCUACAUUUCCUAGAUGAAGUAUUGCAGCCACUACUCGGAAUAUAGCAUCCUACAAGUAGGAACUCAACAAUGUGAAAACAGGCAUCUGCAAUUGCAAAAAGAUGUGGACUUAGCUCCCCAAAAGCAGCUCCUUUGUAUUGCUCCAUCAUGUGGAUGUCAUACAAGUGUGGUAGUCUCCGGAAUGGAUUGACUGCUAUUAGAAUAUUCCCGGUAUAUGUCUACUCAUUUCAUGAUUAAUCGUUAGUUUUCUUUUUUUCUGAAGCCUUUCUAUGUAAAUGAAUAAUAAUAUUGCUUUUGAAUAUGAAACUCACGUAAAUCUCAUUGAGAGCAAACCGCGAAGCAAGAUUACAAAGGACUCCUGGUUCAUUUAGAUAUGCUAACUUUGUCAUGUCAUCGACCCCUGCUGGCGGUGCUUCUGUAUCUUUUGGGUGAAUGCUUGAAAUCUCUGCAACUAUCUGCAUUCAUGAAGGAUGCAAUUUCAACUAUAUUUUCCAGGUCCGAGGCGAAAAUCUUUGUUCUUUAAAGGUACUUAUUUCAAAACUUUGUUCACUUCAAAUUUUAAUAGUUUAAUGUUGUUAAAUUAUGCUGGUGAGAAGUGUGUGG